UGGGGAAUCUUGGACAAUGGGGGCAACCCUGAUCCAGCCAUGCCGCGUGUGUGAAGAAGGCCCUAGGGUUGUAAAGCACUUUCAAUUGGGAAGAAAAGUUCCGGGUUAAUACCCCGUGGACCAUGACGGUACCUUUAGAAGAAGCACCGGCUAACUCCGUGCCAGCAGCCGCGGUAAUACGGAGGGUGCGAGCGUUAAUCGGAAUUACUGGGCGUAAAGGGCGUGUAGGCGGCUUGAUAGGUCAAAGGUGAAAUCCCUCGGCUCAACCGAGGAACUGCCUUUGAAAUCCAUCUGGCUCGAGGCUGGGAGGGGGUAGCGGAAUUCCUGGUGUAGCGGUGAAAUGCGUAGAUAUCAGGAGGAACACCAGUGGCGAAGGCGGCUACCUGGACCAGUUCUGACGCUGAGGCGCGAAAGCGUGGGGAGCAAACAGGAUUAGAUACCCUGGUAGUCCACGCUGUAAAACGAUGGGUACUCGGUGUUGCGGGUGUUGACCCCUGCAUGCCUUAGCUAACGCGUU
rnacentral:rRNA from 1 species